AAAGAGGAAUGUUAUCAUUCUAAAAUAGAGCUCCUAAAUUGCCUGUCAAGAAAAGAGAGCCAAAUAGUCAUAUCAAAACAGGAUCUAGCUGCUCUCUCCAACAUAGUGCCUCCAUUUAUCACCAUAACUUUGGCAGGAGUUGGCGGACAGGUUCUGAGUUCUGAGAUCACAGUUCAUGCCAGCAGGUUGGCUCCUGCCCACUGCCUUCUGUAAGGCCAUUAUCAUUGUCCUUGAGGCCAUGAAUGAGGAAGUUGAGGAUGCAUUUUGUUGGAACCAUGAGAGCACUCCUAUUGAGAUGACUGAGGACUACGUGCUUCAAGCUGAGGACACAGUCAAGACCAAAGGUUUCUUCGACUCCAAACCACAGCCACGUCUCCAUCAUACAGACCAUCCUUUGCAACUUCAGCUUGUGUCAAACAUCCCCUUUGGCAAAACAGCUCUUGCAAUGGAGCUAUCUCCACGUGUCUGCCUUCCACCACCCACGAGACACUGACCUCCAUCGGUCCCCAGCCCUGCCCCGCACUGAUGAGUGCAGAGAUGCUAUGGUAUGAAGCGCAGAUAUCUAGCACCAAGAUUGGACAUCUUUCUUGCCUGCUCUUCCAAAUGUGCUUUCCUGGGGUCCAGGAGUCAGGAUUGACAACUUAUGGAAAGUGUAAAUCUCCCUCUGGUGUUCUAUGUACAGCUUCCUCACUGUGGGAAUCAACCAAGGAUUGACAUUGACCAUCCUCCUCAUUGUGGAAGUCAACCAAGAAUUUACACUGGCCAUCAUCCCCACUGUGGGAGUCAACCAAGGAUUGACAAUGACCAUCUUCCUCACUGUGGGAAUCAACCGAGGGUUGACACUGGACUUCCUCCUCACCAUCGGAAUCAAUCAAGGAUUAAAAUUGGCCAUCAUCUUCAUCAUGGGAGUCGACUAAGGACUGACACUGACCAUCCUCCUCACCAUGGGAAUCAACGAAGGAUUGACAUUGGCCAUCCCACAGGAAGAGUCCUUGAUGAAAUCUCAUCACUCAGUGCCCCUUGGUACGAGUGUGGGCUGGAGCAGAGCUGGCAGAGGCCAGGAGGGGACUGGAGCUGCUAAGAAGCAAGCAAUUGCAUGGAUGAGGUGCUGGGCAAACCCAUGGGUUCCCAUGGUCUUCAGUGGAGCCCAUUGGAGCAGUCUGGGCUGUAGCAGAAGGACCUAUUCCCAUUCUCUGCUGCACUGCAAAGAUCGAGCUGGCAUGGUUUAUCUCAGUGCAGAAACAGCUGGCAGAUAGACAUGGACCCAACUGUUUAGAUGGGAAUGCCUUGCUGUCAGGUCGUGUUACUGGUUCAAACAGAAAGGCACUGCGCAGCCAGAGCCAGGCAUAUAUAACUGACAAAAAAAAGAAGGUGAAAGCUGCUCUGGGCUCAUCAAUAACCUUCCGCACAUCCUUGCCUGUGCUCUGAGUUGAGAAAACACAGCAAUGAUCAGCACUCGGGUCAGGAUUUCGUGAGCUGUCCAAGGAGAAUUUACUCUAGCUCCUUCCUGACAGGAGACAGAGGUAUAAAAAACAAUGCAGUGACUUCUGUUCAAGCAAUAGCUGUGUAAAAUAUUGUUCAUCAGAGCUGUAAAGGUUAGCUCAGCAGAGAAAUAAGGUCUGCAGCUUUUGGCUUUGUAUCCCUUUGGGCAAUCCAUUUGUGAGUUUGUUGAAGGCAAGGAGAAAGAUCCAGUGAUUGGAAAGGGGCUGCACUCACCCCGGCUCAGUCUCUGAAUUAAGCAUCUUCUAUUUUUCCAUUGGCUUUGGAGUGCUUCCAGUCAAUACAGGUCUCACUCGCAGCAUCUCCCCUCACUGGAAGCUCAGCACGGCGUCAGCAUCAACCAAUUCAAGCUAUCCACAAGCAGAGGGGUGAGUGGUUCCCAUAGAACUGGCUCAGCCACGCUUGGUAUUCAGACUCACACAAAGGGUUGGAGAGAAAACAUUGCUUUUUCAGCAUGUCCAGUCUGAUGGCCUACCUCAUCAUCCACCUGAACACAGAAAUGUUCCCGUUUCAAUUGGAGGUCACUUGGAACAGACACAACCCCAUGGGAAGCAUAGCUCCAGCAUCACCUCCUCCCUUGGACAAGGUGACCAAGGGGCCUUCCAGGGGAUCUCAGCUCACUUCCAGGCUCAGGGCCUACCUCUGCUGACCCUUUGCUUCCUCCCACCUCUCGCGGUGUGUACGUGCCAUCUGCUGGCAAGCUGCAGGAAGGAGAAUGCGCUCAAAACGCCUUUUGCUACGACAGAGCAAAGCAGAGGGGUUGGAGGAGCAGCCAGGUUAAAUUUGGCCAUAUGCACCAAACCUGCACAGCCUACAUCUCAUCUCCCAUCAUAAGAGUUAGUUCCUUACCAGCACGGCUGGUGGUCAACACAUUGCCAUGAGGCUGUUUUCUGCUGGAAGCAGCGAUUUCCCUCUGUUGAGCAUUCUGAUUUCUUGUUGUGAGAGCAGAAAACUCAGAAGCUGCAAGGUCCAGCGUUCAAAACUGCCCUUGUCUUUCAGUUGUGGUUUUAUCCACCUCGUAUUUUCCCAUUCUUUCCUCAUUUCCCCCUUCGCCACUCCCCAUUCCUGCAGUGCAGUGCGGUGAUGGUUCCAUCCAAAAUGAUGCAUGUAGAUUUACAUGCGUUGGGUGUUUUUUUUUUUAGUGCACAAAGUUGGUUGGCAGCACCCAAGUGUGAGCUGCCUUUCUGAAGAUGCAGCAAGAGAAAACAGAGCGAAAUGCAGGAGAUGAUUUUCCAUUUGGUUUCGAGCAGGGAGAAGGCACAUAAAGAGACCCCCACAUAGAGCAGCCGUGCAAGGCCAUGCAUCACUUAUGCCUUACUUGAAGGUAUUAAAUAAGACUUCACUAGAACACAGCUCUGGUGCUGACCCUCUGCAGAUGGGUGAAUUGCACCCUAAAGCAAAUAUAGGGAACUUGUAUUAUUCAACAGCUGCUGCUAAUAGGGUUACUGCAGGCGGAGAUGUUGCCUGUCUCGACUGAGGAGCAGACGCUGGCCUCGGUGACUCCUGUUUGCAUAAUUAUACUGUAAAUUCUGUCCCGCUGUGUCUGUAUAAUUACGUUUUUAAAUAAGAAAAAAAAGUAUUUAUAUACGUGUGGAGCUUUUCUUUUUUCCCACCCAAAGCUUUCAUGGCCAGAUUUUCAAGUAUUUAGAAUUAGGUGUGAUUGCAAAAAAAAACAAUAACAGAAAAGAAACCAAGGAGUGAUUGGUAUGCAUUUCGUUGGCUAGCAGAAGGAAACCUGCUCCGCUGAAGGCAUUUAGAUGGGAUGCAGCACUCUCCUUCCCUACCAGGGGAAGCCAGCUUUUGUCAUCUACACUGGGAAGGAGAAGGAUAGAAUCUCUGGACCAGCUGGUUUUAAGGUGAGAAGCUUGCAGUAACUGAGGUUGAAAAGAGGUCUUUGGAAGAUCUUCAGAGCCCGGCGCUGCUUGGCUUCCUGCUUUUAUUGAUGACUUCAGGCAUCAAAACAGUAAUGAAGAUUCCAACAGAAAAUAUCUGAUAAAAAUAAAACUCAGGAGAAACUGUGAGCACAAAGGAGAUGGAUGCUUAAGAUCCAACCCAAACCAUUCUCUCCCAUACUCUUCCACUCUACUCUACCGUACUCCGCUCCAUCCUAUUCUACUCCACUCUGCUCUACUCACUCUACUCUGUUCUAUUCUACUCUACUCUUCUCCAUUCUACUCUACUCUACUCUACUCCAUUCUAUCCUACAUUACUCUAUUCAAUUCUACCCUACUCUACUCCAUUCUAUCCUACAUUACUCAAUUCUACCCUACUCUACUCCCUUCUAUUCUACCUACUCCAUUCUACUCUGCUCUACUGUACUCUACACUACUCCACUCUAUUCUGCUUUACUGUACACCAUUCUACUCCAUUCUAUUCUACUCUACUCCAUUCUACUCCACGCUACUCCAUUCUAUUCUACUGUACACCAUUCUACUCUACUCCAUUCUACUCUACUCCAUUCUAUUCCACUCUACUCCAUUCUAUUCUACUUUACUCUACUCUACUCCACUCUACCAUACUCUGCUGUACUCUACUCUACUCCAUUCUAUUCCAUGAGUAGCAUUACAAACCUGAAAGUGACAAAAAGGGGUAUAAAUUUGAUAGCUCUCUAUACAAGUUGGGUUUGCUUGACAGGUUCUCAGCAGUUGGAAAUGACUGGCAAGGAAAAAGUUUCCAAAUGGGUCACAGGAUAAAGCAAAAACUACGCAGCCAUGGGGCCACGGUGAAAUCAGCAAAAUGAAGGGGGUCAGACUGGAGAUGAACGUGAAUUAUUUUGCUUCAUUGCAGCAGAACAUCUCACAGUGCCUCUCCUCAAUGGCUGCAUCCCAACGACACCCACCUCCUAUUCCCAGGUGAGGAAAACCAAACCAUCCCAUCCUGCACUCCUGCUGCCUGCUUUCCUUCAAGGACUGGAGCAACUGGCAGGGGAAAACUGCGUCCUGCGUUAAUGUCAGCGUCUGCAACUGCAAAAGCAGUUCUCUGCAGCCCUCUAGUGCUCAUUGCAUGCAAACGAAAAACAGAGCUUGCAACAGCCAUGGGGAAAUGGGGCCAGGGCAGCUCGGGCUCACUGUAACUUAGAAUAGAGGCUUUUAUUUGCUAGCAGGACACAGUACCAGCUGUUAUGUACCCAAACAGUUGUAAUGUGUAGGCAGGCUCUGCUCCCCAGGCUGCAUUCCCACCAGAAGCAGCACUGGUGCACAGCAGAACGCGCCAGCCGAGCAAAGGGCACGCAGGUUCUGCAGCACCGACAUCUGCUACAGAAAUGAUGUGACAGCUUCGUCCCAUAGAGCAUCGCCAGGAACGUUCAUCAGAAGUCCCCUUCCCAUCAGUAUUCCUUCUCUCCCUGCCCCUGUGCACGCCUUCAGCCUCCCUUUCUGCAGUGCUACCCAACGGAGGGCCCGAAUUAUGCAGGAAGGCCCCUUUGGAGGAGCAGAGGAGGGAAAGGUGGUGAUGUAUCGUUCCCUUUCCUGGCAGCUUUUUGCCUAUUCGUAUUCAGAUCGUGCUGCAUUACCUCAGUGAUAAAGAUGCACGUGGAGUUGGGAGACCUUCUUCGUGUUUCACUUGGGCCAGAAGUACCCCAUGAUUCAUUAAAAAAAGAAAACCAGCCCUUCUGCCAAAUAACAGAUACCCAAAAUUGCCAGUUAAUUAAACGGAAUACGCUUGCUUUCCGUGCUCCUGAUAAAACCCUGAAACCCAAGCUCUUCUUCCAAAUGGAUUUCUCCCACAAAUCCCCACUUCAACCACAGAAGCUGUCGUCUGUCUGCACGCGAAAUCUUGCUUUACCACCUCUCCUGUCCGUACAGAGACGCCCUGAACAACCUUGUCAUUUCCAUUUCUCAUGCAUUCUCAGUGCUCUGCGUUCUCAGGGUCUGGGAGGUUUCAUUUUCCCAUUGCCAGAGGCUGCUCGUCCCUAUCAGGGCUCACUCCGCCACAUCAAAGGCAGCAGGGAUACAUCAGAGGGAGCAGGAGGGCUGCAGUCCCCUCCGGGGGGGGACCACAGGGAUGCUGCAUGCUCUGAAGCAUCCUAGAGCUUCUGGAAGCAGGUCUGGAUCAGCAAAGCUCCGUUGAGGCUGUGAGAAUCAACGGAGCCCAACCAGCCGAGAUGGUUUGUGAUCCUAAUCUGCAUCUGAGCAUCACUGUGGAGUGAAGCCCUUGUCAAGGUGCCAUCAUAGAAUGGUUUGGGUCAGAAGUGAGACUCAGAGGUCAUGGAACCCAUCUCCUCUGCAGUGAACUGGGACACCCACAGCUCAACCCAAGUGCUCAAAGCCUGCUCCAGCCUGGCCUAUAGGAUGAUGCUUUCCUACCUACAAUGUUAGAUAUCUUCUUUUCCUGACCCAUAAGGUGAUGCUUUCCAAAGUCACCCCUCUUCCAGACAGCAGCAGAGAGACAGCCACGUGGUGACAGCCUUCACAGUCUUUGCAGCAUCACAUCUUUGCCCUGGGAGGUGGUGGAGUCACCAUCCCUGGAGGUGUUCAAGAAACAUUCAGGUGUUGAUGACCCUUGAGGUCCCUUCCAACCCAAGCCAUUCUGUGUUGUACUGAGGGACGUGGCUUAGUGGGAAAUACGGGCGGUAGGUGGGCAGUUGGACUAAAUGAUCUUGGAGGUCCUUUCCAACAUUGGUGACCCUAUGAUUCCAUCACUGUGUUCCCAUCACAUUACCCAUCACAUUACAGAAAAUGGACACGAGGCAAUCAGGGAUGCUAAAAAGCUCUGGUUUCCCAAAUGGCAGUGGUUUGUCCCUCAGGUAACCCAAACCCCAGCACUGGGAGGUGGCUUCCACUUGGCUCCAGCCCUACCCAAAGCCUUUAGUUCACCUCCUGUGCCCAAACCUAAGACAGGAAGGAGCCGUGGCACCAGGCUGCACCCCAGAAGAGGGCUGGCAUUCACACGAAGCCAUCUCAAGAGGAGGAAAAUGAAGAUGCAGACGCUCCAAAGGGAGGUCUGUCAGAGCCCGGGGGUUCAGGCUGCUUAACGAAGCAACGCUGGCUGCCAAAGCAGAAUUUCCAACUCUAUGUUUUUCCCAGCUGUGUUUUUCCAGUGCCUACUGCAGGCAGCAGCGUUUCCCUUUGGUGUAAAGCAGGACGAUGAGGGGGGGUUGCUUUGAAACCUUUUGCUUGCAUAGGAAAUGAACUUCUUGAUUCCUGUUGACAUUUGCAGCAAGGUGUAGGUGGCGCUUGUAGCAUUUCUCAGAGCUCCCCGGCUCUGUUUGUUCAGAUCCUUCUCACUCCUGUGAAAUGCGAUAAUACCGAGCGGUGGGUGGAAGGAACAGCGCAAACGGAGCCCUUCAGGAGACAGAAGGGCUCAGAACUGCUCUGCACUGGAAGACAACUCCUUCUGCUCCCAACCACCGACACCAGACCCAACCCCAUCCCUGCAGCUUGUCCCUGGGGGUCGCAGUUCUGCUCUGACCCUGCAGCUAUGGAGAUGGUCCAUUCCUCAUCCCAGUGCUUAAAGAAGCACGGGCAGCUCUUCUCCAUCCUGGUCUCAUCCUUUUGGGACUUUUCUCGGUGGGGUUUCACUUUCCAGGACUAAAAACAACCUGCUGCAGCAGGGAAAUGGGAGAGAGCUGCCCUGACACCUUCUUGGAAUCAUUCUGCACAGCACUGAUGUGCUCCUUAAUAAAGUGUUGUAAGAGCCUGUGUCACCAAGCAGCCCAAGAGCUGCAAAGCCCAAGUCUCCUGAACUCAUUCGGGUUCCUUCUUGCAACCUCACAAGCCUCAAAUCACGGCAGCCAUUCUCAUAUCUCCUCUUCUGCCCUGGCAGUGGGAAAGGAGCAGAUCUGUGAAGGCUGUAUUAGGGGAUGAGGGGUUCACCCUCCUGUGAGAUGUGGGAUAAUGACACAUCUUGCUGGAUGGGGUGACCCUGGGGUCCUGCUGUGUGGGUGCUCAGGUUGUGUUGGGCAGGGUGGAUAUGGGGUCGUGCACUGUGGGUGCUCAGGUUCUGCAGGGUGGGGUGGAUAUGGGGUCAUGGAGUGUGGGUGCUCAGGUUGUGUUGGAUGGGGUGGAUAUGGGGUCGUGCAGUGUGGGUGCUCAGGUUGUGUUGAGUGGGUGGAUAUGGGGUCGUGCAGUGUGGGUGCUCAGGUUGUGUUGGGUGGGGUGGGUAUGGGGUCGUGCACUGUGGGUGCUCAGGUUGUGUUGGGUGGGGUGGGUAUGGGGUCCUGCAGUUUGGUGCUCAGCUCAUUGCCCUGAAUGCAUGGCAUAAACCGUUUUCUCCCCAAUUGGAAAUCCCUGCAAGGGGAAAGCACUGCAGCAGAGGGUUGAAGGGAAAGCAGUGAGCUGCUGCGUGUGAACGAAGCAUGCAGAGCUCCGCCCCAGCUGUGCAUUAGGGCUGAUUAACAUCAAACCGGGACCUUAUCGCAGCCGGAUCGUUGGGGCUGAUUGGCGACUGAUCGCCCAUUGAAUGAGGAGGAGCGUGUCCGGGUUCUCGGGGGUGAUCUGCGAGAACGGCAGAAAGCAAUUAAGGAAGGAAAGCUGCGAUGGUUAUCGGGGAAGUGGGGCAGGGUGAAAGGCAGUCCUGAUGCGAUUGGGAUGGGAAUCCUGCAGGGAGAGUGUUGGCUAAAGGGGGAACCCCUUUUUACUUCUGUGUUUCCUCCCAUCUCCAAGCCCUCGUGCACCCCCGGCCAUCCAUAGGCCUAUAGGGAUGGAUUCUCACUCGUUUGAAGCACUGGGAGGGCACGUUUUGAUGGUUGUAGGGCAGUUUUCAUUCGCAAAGAGCCCAGAAUUGGGGAAGUCGGAACGAAGGGCACAACCUGAGCAUGGCACCAAAGUGGGCUUCGCUUCUGCGUGCUGACCGGCGCUGCAGUUUUGGGCCAAAAGGUGAUGCUUUAGUGACAGCCAGAACUAAAGAGCCUGAAAUCUCCCCCCGUGGCCUUUCUGUUGUUUGCAGUUCAGCUGCUGAACCACGAAUCCCUACCACAGUGCCCAAAUGCACCCCACGGAUGGAGAUGGGAGACGGGGUUCGGCCACCCCUGCGCCCCACAGCCCUGCAGAGGUGGGAUGGGACGAAGGAGCCGAGCGAUCCGCAGCCCGACGGGGAGGGUGGUGGCCUGGGGACGGAGGGCUCCCGUUGGCCACAGGUCCUGGUUCCUCUGCUUGCUUUCCCCCAACGGGCGCUGAGCUCCGUUUACCCUGGAAGAAGAAGAGAAAGGGCAUGGGGAGGCCUCUGGAGCCUGCAAGUCUCAUUGAGCACCGCUGGAACAGUGUCCCGUCGGCACUUUGGGUGCUGCUCCAACAACAACCCCCCCACACACACACACCUCCCAGACCCCUCCUGCCCCACUCACAGCCCGUGGGAUAACCCCACACAGGUGAAAACAAAACAAAACAAAACAAAAAACCCACCCGAAACCUCAGGAUUAUUAAGGGCACAGCCCAACGUGCAGCCACCAGCGCAGCGCGAGCGCCAGGCAGCCACUCGCCUCAAUGCCCCCUAUGUCCCAGCGGUGACCGCAGCGGUCACGGGGAUCCCAAAGCCCUGCAGCAGCCAAAGCACCUGGCGUAAGGACCUGCCGCCAGCCCUUCUCCCUCCACGUUUGCACCCAUGGAGGGGGGUUUUGCUGCACCUUCUCCCAGCCCUGCGCCCGCCGGCUGAAAAUACACCGAUAGAAUAGGAGCUCUGAGUGCUCACUGCGCU
rnacentral:lncRNA from 1 species